rnacentral:rRNA from 1 species
GGCCGCGGGUAAUUCGAUUACUGCUCAGUAACACGUGGACAAUCUGCCCUGAAGUGGAGGAUAAUCCCGGGAAACUGGGGGUAAUACUCCAUAGUUCGUGCUGACUGGAAUGUUAUGCGAACGAAAGAUCCGUCGCUUCAGGAUGAGUCUGCGGCCGAUUAGGUAGUUGUUGGGGUAACGGCCCAACAAGCCUGUCAUCGGUACGGGUUGUGGGAGCAAGAGCCCGGAGAUGGAUUCUGAGACACGAAUCCAGGCCCUACGGGGCGCAGCAGGCGCGAAAACUUUACCAUGCGGGCAACCGUGAUAAGGAAACCCCGAGUGCCAGCACAGGCUGGCUGUCCGCCAGUGUAAAUAACUGGUGAAGAAAGGGCCGGGCAAGACCGGUGCCAGCCGCCGCGGUAAUACCGGCGGCUCGAGUGGUGGCCACUAUUACUGGGCUUAAAGGGUCCGUAGCUUGAUAUGCAAGUCUCUUGAGAAAUCCGCCAGCUUAACUGGUGGGCGUUCAGGGGAAACUGCAUUUCUAGGGACCGGGAGAGGUGAGAGGUACUGCCNGGGUAGGAGUGAAAUCCUGUAAUCCCGGUGGGACACCUAUGGCGAANGCAUCUCACCANAACGGGUCCGACGUUNAGGACNAANCUGGGGNGCAACCGGAUAGAUACCCGG